GACCCAAACAUUAAUCAAUUUUUCAAAUAUCUACUUAUUUUCCUAAUCACCAUACUAAUUCUAGUCACCGCCAACAACCUAUUUCAACUCUUCAUCGGCUGAGAGGGCGUAGGAAUCAUGUCUUUCCUACUCAUCGGUUGAUGGUAUGCUCGAACAGAUGCCAACACAGCAGCCAUCCCAGCAAUCCUAUACAACCGUAUUGGCGACAUUGGCUUCAUCCUAGCCCUAGCAUGAUUCCUCCUACACUCCAACUCAUGAGAACCACAAGAAAUACUCCUCCUAAACACUAACCCUGACUUUAUUCCACUACUAGGUUUCCUCUUAGCAGCAGCAGGAAAAUCAGCUCAAUUAGGUCUUCAUCCCUGACUCCCCUCAGCCAUAGAAGGCCCUACCCCCAUCUCAGCCCUACUUCACUCAAGCCCCAUAGUUGUAGCUGGGGUCUUUCUACUCAACCGCUUCCACCCCUUAGCAGAAAAUAACCCACCAAUCCAAACUCUCACACUAUGCCUAGGCGCCACCACCACCCUGUUCGCAGCAGUCUGUGCUCUUACACAAAAUGACAUCAAAAAAAUCGUAGCCUUCUCUACUUCAAGCCAAUUAGGACUCAUGGUAGUCACAAUCGGCAUCAACCAACCAUACCUAGCAUUCCUACACAUCUGUACCCAUGCUUUCUUCAAAGCCAUAUUAUUUAUAUGCUCCGGAUCCAUUAUUCAUAACCUCAACAAUGAACAAGACAUUCGAAAAAUAGGAGGACUACUCAAAAUUAUACCCCUCACUUCAACCUCCCUCACCAUUGGCAGCCUGGCACUUGCAGGAAUGCCCUUCCUCACGGGCUUCUAUUCCAUAGACCUCAUCAUCAAAACCGCAAAUAUAUCAUACACCAACGCCUGAGCCCUAUCUAUUACUCUCAUCGCCACUUCCCUAACAAGCGCCAAUAGCACUCGAAUAAUUCUCCUCACCCUAACAGGCCAACCUCGUUUCCCAACCCUAACCAACAUCAACGAAAACAACCCUACCCUGCUAAGCCCCAUCAAACGCCUAACAAUCGGAAGCCUAUUCGCAGGAUUUCUCAUCACCAGCAACAUUUUCCCCACAUCCAUCCCCCAAAUGACAAUCCCACUUCACUUAAAACUCACAGCCCUAGGCAUCACCUUCCUAGGACUUCUGACAGCCCUAGACCUCAACUACUUAACCAACAAACUCAAAAUAAAAAACCCACUGUGUACAUUUCACUUUUCCAACAUACUCGGAUUCUAUCCCUGUAUUAUUCACCGCACAAUCCCCCACCUAAGCCUUCCCAUAAGCCAAAAUUUAUCCCUACUUUUAUUAGACCUAACUUGACUAGAAAAACUAAUACCUAAAACAACCUCACAGUACCAAACCUCCGCCUCCAUCAUCACCUCAACUCAAAAAGGCAUAAUCAAACUUUACUUCCUCUUUCUUCUUCCC
rnacentral:lncRNA from 1 species